ensembl:lincRNA
UGUGUUCCUUCCCCACGUGUGCUGCUGUCCCCACAAAAAAUGCAUUUCGGAUGCUGAAUAUCCACGCCUCACGGUGCUCUGGUGACUAGGGGGAUCCCUGUGAGAUGGGGGCUUUCCAGCAACCUAGAUAAUGAAACCACAGAGCAGCCUUCCCCUGCGGUGACCUAGUUCUUAAUUCCUGUAGUUUCAACACUCAUCACAGCAGAAUUCUGAUGAGGCUGGGCUCUUUCGCAGCUGGCAUUUGAUGAGAAAAGGGAAUUGAAAUGUAGGUGAUUGAUUUGGACCUGGAGAAGCUGAUUGGAUGUCACCCUGUUCUUCCCGACAAUGGGGACCGGUCUGUGCAAAGGGGACUUCCUGUGACCCCUGCGGGUCCACCGGAAGUUCUGAUUUCUCCCCGUGGAAUAGGGGCGCGAAGGCUGCCCUGUCACACACGGCCCAAGAGAUUGAUUACCUGGGCUCUGGCAGCCUCUCUGGUGACAGUGACAGGGACUGGGAACCUGGGAGCUUCUCAGCAUCUCCUUCUCACACUCUGCCUCUGAGCAGCUGGGAAUCCUUACCCCUCCAAUCUCCUGACUGCUCAUCUCCCUGGAGCCAGGACCCUGAAUCAGUAUUCACGGCCUGUUAGUGGCUUGCAAGGCAGAGCAGACAGAUGGACGUGCUCGGGAAGCCUAUUGAUCAGCCCUUGGUGUGACCUGCCCAGACCUGGUUCUGUUUCAAGCACUGAUCACGUGGACAAGGUAUGUGCAAGGCCCAGAAAACACCAAAGGGCAAGUGUGAGGCGCUGGAUCAGGUCCCUUGAGGAGAGCAGGGCCCGGCGGGCUCUGGCCAGAGCCCCACCCCACGCUGUCUUGGGGUGUCUCACUGGCUCACAGGAACCUCCUGGGCAGGAAAUGUCUGUGUUUGACCCUGCAGGCCUGGCCCUGGAGCUUGGACCCUGAUAGGGCCUGAAGGAAUUAGGUUGGAUUGAACUGGGUUCCAGGACCUCACAUCUCCAUUCCCCAUAGUGGGGGGGGGCAGGGAGGAGACCCCUGGUUCUGGAGCGUCAGAUCUGCAAGACCUCGGACCUCUGGCUCAACACCCCCUUGAGGGGCUUCUGGCCUCCUGGCUCUGCUGGAGAAGGCAUGGCCUGUGGACCUCCUGCAUUCCCGAGGCAGGCUGCGUGGCUAGCAUUUGGAGGCUGGCAGAGACUGGCUGAUUCCUAACCAAAGAUGCUGUUGGUGUCUUCUGAUGGAACGUGACUUUCUUUGCCUAGUAGGUGUUAUUCACAGGGAUCCUUUAGUUAAGCAGAUUUGCCUAGGCCCCCUGUUGGGUCGUAUUUUUCUUUUUUCUUUUUUUUCCUUUCUUUUUUUUUUGUUUCAGGAGUCCUUAAUUCCUCUCAGCACCGUUUGAGAUGAGCAACUACACAAGACAAAGACGAAAGGCUUUUUCAGCUCAAAAAUCCUGUGAUUCUUUGAUUCUAAGAAGAGAUUUUCUUACAAGGAGUUUGCCUAAGGUAAGAGAAUUCUGACUGCCCACAGUGUUAGUUGCUAAGUGGUUUCCUGGGCAGGCUGGGCCCCCACUGGGACCCCACACAUUAGCUCUUUUUGGGAGGGAGGCCUGUUCUUAAACUUCCUCAACACCUUCCUUCCCACAGUGUCCACACGGCUUGUGUCUCCUCCCAGCAGCCGGCCUGCUGGUGUGUGUGCUGUGUGUGGAGCGUGGCCUUAGGCCUGUGUUGUGAGUGAUGUCUGCAGAGCAUGGGGUUGAUUUGGAAGAAGGUGUGAUCCGAAGUUGUGUUUGACCUGAGCUCCUGUCACCCCUGAAGGCAGCAGAGGAUCUCCUGUCAGUGACCCAGGAGGACAGCUUUCUGAAGGACAUUCUGCCCAUUACACAGAGGGGCUUUCGUGAUUGGUUUGCCCAGAUAUGACUUUUUUCCCUACCUUUGAAGGCCUAGAUUGGGUUUCCCAUUUCUUGGCCCUUUGGAAAGGCCAAUGGCUCCCUGUUUGACAGGCUGCCCUGAGCAGCAGGUGCUCCAUUUAGACCCAGGCUGCCCCAAUCCCAGCUCUGAUCUGACCCUCAGCUCUGAGGCUCCAUUGAGUCCCUGGGCCUCAGGGACCCUGUUCAGGCUUUGCUGAUGGUGGUAUCAAGUGACCUCCGAGCCACCUCCACGUUGGCUCAGACUGAGGAAACUGGUGAUCUUGUCUUGCUGUUUGCAAUACUUGAAGACAAAAACAGAACUUGUGCUGCAUUCUCAAGAAAGAAGAGACAACUGUUCCUGUACCUCACUCUUGUAGAUAUCUGUAUGAAGAAGCAGUGAUGGGUGCAUGCAAGCUAGGGAGCAUCAAGGCUCCCACGGCAUGGGCGCCAGCUGACCCCUGACCUCGUUUUCAUCUGUUGCUCUGGUCGUGGCUCUGAGAUCUGGGCAACCUGAGCCAGCUUGUGCAUUCCUUACCCUUGUGCUUUUGCACUAUCCAUCCCCGUCCCCUAGAACUCCCUCCAGUACAGUCUGCUCCACCCCAUCCCAUCCCAUCCCAUCCCAUCCCAACUCACCUCACUCCAUCCUACCCCAUUCUACCACAUCCCACCCCAUCCCAUUCCAUCCCAGCCCAUACCACCCCACCCCACCCCAUCCCACCUCACCC